CUGGCUCAGGACGAACGCUGGCGGCAUGCCUAACACAUGCAAGUCGAACGGGGGUAGCAAUACCCUAGUGGCGAACGGGUGAGUAACACAUAAGCAAUCUGCCCUUCACAGGGGGAUAACAGCGGGAAACUGCUGCUAAUACCGCAUAAGACCACAGUACCGCAUGGUACAGGGGUAAAAACGAAUCAGUGGUGAAGGAUGAGCUUAUGUCCCAUUAGCUAGUUGGUGAGAUAACAGCCCACCAAGGCGACGAUGGGUAGCCGACCUGGGAGGGUGAUCGGCCACACUGGAACUGAGACACGGUCCAGACUCCUACGGGAGGCAGCAGUGGGGAAUAUUGGGCAAUGGAAGGAAACUCUUACCCAGCAAUGCCGCGUGAGUGAAGGAGGUCUUCGGAUUGUAAAGCUCUUUGAUUGGGGACGAAGAAAGUGACGGUACCCAAAGAACAAGCCCCGGCUAACUACGUGCCAGCCGCCGC
rnacentral:rRNA from 1 species